AGCGAACGCUGGCGGCAGGCUUAACACAUGCAAGUCGAACGCCCCGCAAGGGGAGUGGCAGACGGGUGAGUAACACGUGGGAACGUACCCUUUGGUUUGGAAUAACGUGGGGAAACUCAAGCUAAUACCGGAUAAGCCCUUAUGGGGAAGGGUUUACUGGCUAAGGAUCGGCCCGCGUCUGAUUAGAUAUGUGGGAGGGUAAUGGCUCACCAAGGCGACGAUCAGUAGCUGGUCUGAGAGUAUGAUCAGCCACACUGGGACUGAGACACGGCCCAGACUCCUACGGGAGGCAGCAGUGGGGAAUAUUGGACAAUGGGGGCAACCCUGAUCCAGCCAUGCCGCGUGAGUGAUGAAGGCCUUAGGGUUGUACAGCUCUUUUACCCGGGACGAUAAUGACUGUACCGGGAGAAUAAGCCCCGGCUAACUUCGUGCCAGCCGCCGCCGUAA
rnacentral:rRNA from 1 species